UAGCAGAAUAGAUACAUGAUCUCCCUGGUU
rnacentral:piRNA from 1 species